rnacentral:rRNA from 1 species
AACGAACGCUGGCGGCAUGCCUAACACAUGCAAGUCGAACGAAACCUUCGGGUCUAGUGGCGCACGGGUGCGUAACGCGUGGGAACCUGCCCUUAGGUUCGGAAUAACUCCCCGACAGGGGUGCUAAUACCGGAUAAUGUCUUCGGACCAAAGAUUUAUCGCCUUUGGAUGGGCCCGCGUUGGAUUAGCUAGUUGGUAGGGUAAAAGCCUACCAAGGCGACGAUCCAUAGCUGGUCUGAGAGGAUGAUCAGCCACACUGGGACUGAGACACGGCCCAGACUCCUCCGGGAGGCAGCAGUGGGGAAUAUUGGAACAUGGGCGAAAGCAUGAUCCAGCAAUGCCGCGUGAGUGAUGAAGGCAUUAGGGUUGUAAAGCUCUUUUACCCGGGAUGAUAAUGACAGUACCGGGAGAAUAAGCUCCGGCUAACUCCGUG